UCAAACUUGGUCAUUUAGAGGAAGUACAAGUCGUAACAAGGUCUCCGUUGGUGAACCAGCGGAGGGAUCAUUACCGAGUUUACAACUCCCAAACCCAAUGUGAAACAUACCUGUCGUUGCUUCGGCGGUACCGCCCCGGCGCCCUCGGGCCCGGAACCAGGCGCCCGCCGGAGGCCCGCAAACUCUCCGUGUAUGCCGGCCCCGCCGGCGGCAUUAUCUGAGUAAAACACAAAACGAAUCAAAACUUUCAACAACGGAUCUCUUGGUUCUGGCAUCGAUGAAGAACGCAGC
rnacentral:misc_RNA from 1 species